UGAGGAAUUUUGCGCAAUGGGGGAAACCCUGACGCAGCAACGCCGCGUGAGUGAAGAAGGCCUUCGGGUCGUAAAGCUCUGUCGAGUGGGAAGAACCCUUUCAAGGUCAACAGCCUUGGGAGCUGACGGUACCACUGGAGGAAGCACCGGCUAACUCCGUGCCAGCAGCCGCGGUAAUACGGAGGGUGCAAGCGUUAUUCGGAAUUACUGGGCGUAAAGGGCGCGCAGGCGGCUGGAUAAGUCAGUAGUGAAAUCCCGGGGCUCAACCCCGGAAGUGCUGCUGAAACUGUUUAGCUUGAGUAUGGUAGAGGGAAGCGGAAUUCCUGGUGUAGCGGUGAAAUGCGUAGAUAUCAGGAGGAACACCGGUGGCGAAGGCGGCUUCCUGGACCAAUACUGACGCUGAGGCGCGAAGGCGUGGGUAGCAAACA
rnacentral:rRNA from 1 species